rnacentral:rRNA from 1 species
AUUGAACGCUGGCGGCAUGCUUUACACAUGCAAGUCGAACGGCAGCGCGGGCUUCGGCCUGGCGGCGAGUGGCGAACGGGUGAGUAAUGCAUCGGAACGUGCCCAGCAGUGGGGGAUAGGCCGGCGAAAGGCGGAUUAAUACCGCAUACGACCUGAGGGUGAAAGGGGGGGACCGAAAGGCCUCGAGCGAUUUGAGCGGCCGAUGUCGGAUUAGCUAGUUGGUGGGGUAAAGGCUUACCAAGGCGACGAUCCGUAGCUGGUCUGAGAGGACGACCAGCCACACUGGGACUGAGACACGGCCCAGACUCCUACGGGAGGCAGCAGUGGGGAAUUUUGGACAAUGGGGGCAACCCUGAUCCAGCCAUGCCGCGUGCGGGAAGAAGGCCUUCGGGUUGUAAACCGCUUUUGUUCGGGAAGAAAUCCUCUGGGCUAAUACCCCGGGGGGAUGACGGUACCGGAAGAAUAAGCACCGGCUAACUACGUG